rnacentral:rRNA from 1 species
AUUGAACGCUGGCGGCAUGCUUUACACAUGCAAGUCGAACGGUAACAGGUUAAGCUGACGAGUGGCGAACGGGUGAGUAAUGCAUCGGAACGUGCCCGAUCGUGGGGGAUAACGCAGCGAAAGCUGCGCUAAUACCGCAUACGAUCUGAGGAUGAAAGCGGGGGACCGUAAGGCCCCGCGCGAUCGGAGCGGCCGAUGUCAGAUUAGGUAGUUGGGGGGUAAAGGCCCACCAAGCCGACGAUCUGUAGCUGGUCUGAGAGGGCGACCAGCCACACUGGGACUGAGACACGGCCCAGACUCCUACGGGAGGCAGCAGUGGGGAAUUUUGGACAAUGGGCGAAAGCCUGAUCCAGCAAUGCCGCGUGCUGGAAGAAGGCCUUCGGGUUGUAAACUGCUUUUGUACGGAGCGAAAAGGUCCUUUCUAAUACAAGGGGCUCAUGACGGUACCGUAAGAAUAAGCACCGGCUAACUACGUGCCAGCCGCCGCAGUAA